GCCAGAGUGGUUUAGUGGCUUCAGUGUUGGACUAGGACUCUGGAGACCAGGCUUCAAAUCCCUGCUCAGCA